AAAGCAUUGAUGAUAGCGGUGUUGACGUCGCAUAAAGGAUGCUGGAACAAUGGCCUACUCUGCGUGGGAGGUUUUAGAGGGGAAACAUCCCAUGCGGACUUCCUCGCAACCUGCCUCCGGAAUCUAUCUUUGCCUUUGGCAACAGCACGUGUGGUUGCAACGGAUUCAGAGAAAAGAAUAUAGCACAGGAAGGGCAGCUUCGUCAUCGUGAUCUGGGCCGAUGAACUAGCGAACUCCGGUGGUGGUGGUGAUGCCGAUGAACUCAGACUACCAGGGUUGUCAACGUCACU